GCUCCUAUGGCUCAGUUGGUAGAGCGCAUGACUAGUGAUCAUGAGGUCCGCGGUUCAAAUCCGCGUGGGAGCA
rnacentral:tRNA from 1 species